ACAAUUAUGUUGUAAUUAGAAGGCUGUAGAAUUCUUGAUGUAUAUAAAUAGGGGUGUCAAAACGGUUAACCCAACUCAACUCAACUCAUAAUUAAAUGAGUUUAGAAUUAAAUAAGUUAUGGGUUGACCCAACCUAUUUAACAUAAUGAGUUGGGUCAACCCAUAACUCAUUUAAUUUGAUGGGUUAACCCAUUUGAGUAAUAAUUUAAUUAAUUAUUAUUAUAAAACAAUAAUAAAUAAUUA
rnacentral:sRNA from 1 species